CCUACGGGUGGCAGCAGUGAGGAAUAUUGGUCAAUGGGCGAGAGCCUGAACCAGCCAAGUCGCGUGAGGGAGUACUGCCCUAUGGGUUGUAAACCUCUUUUGUCGGGGAGCAAAAGCCGGACGUGUCCGGCUGUGAGAGUACCCGAAGAAAAAGCAGCGGCUACCUCCGUGCCAGCAGCCGCGGUAAUACGGAGGAUGCGAGCGUUAUCCGGAUUUAUUGGGUUUAAAGGGUGCGCAGGCGGGUUUUUAAGUUAGCGGGAAAAUCGUGGGGCUCAACCCCAUCCAGCCGUUGAAACUGGGGAUCUAGAGUGUGCGAGAGGGAUGCGGAAUGCGUGGUGUAGCGGUGAAAUGCAUAGAUAUCACGCAGAACCCCGAUUGCGAAGGCAGCAUACCGGUGCACAACUGACGCUCAGGCACGAAAGCGUGGGUAUCGAACAGGAUUAGAUACCCGAGUAGUC
rnacentral:rRNA from 1 species